AUGCUGGGGUCCGGGCUGAAUCUGGUGACCACGGUGAUCGGCUUCGGGAUGAGCGCCACCUUCAUCGUCUUCGUCUGCGCACGCCUCAUCUGCGGACGCGCCGUGCGGGCCGACGCCGAGGCCGACGUCGCCGCCGCCCGGGCGAUGGCUCCGGGCCCCGCGCCCUUCGACUUCGACAUCGAGUUCCGCACUGCGGAUCUCGAUCGCACGAUUCAGAACACCUGCAGUGGAUUGGAACCUUUCGUUGUUGCUGCAAUUCCAACAAUAACGUAUAGCUCUGAAGCCUUCCAUUCAAAAGAUGAUGCCCAGUGCUCCAUAUGUUUGGGUGAAUACGACGAGAAAGAGAUCCUGCGUAUAAUGCCCACAUGCCGACAUAAUUUUCAUCUUUCCUGUAUAGAUAUAUGGUUAGAGAAGCAAACGACCUGCCCAAUAUGCCGAAUCUCGUUGGACUUACCGGGUGGAAAAGCCAGUGCUUCUCCUGCCCGUAGCCUCCCUCAAUUAUUUGGCCACCCUGAGAGCUCUGCCAGUCGAUCACCGCAUUGGAUACUUCCUAUGCAUCGUGAUCGUAGUGGGGGUAGAGGUAACAGACCGGCCUCACAAGAAUCAUUAGAAGUGGUCAUAACAUGA
rnacentral:rRNA from 1 species